ACCAGGUCACGCAUCCACGGGUUUAAAAGUCUGCACAGCCUCAAGAGCCUCAACUUGAUAAAAGCCAUGGGUGUCUCCAAAGUGUGGGAUCGGCAGCCUAAACAAAACAAAAUGGUCAGCGGAACAUCCUUCAAAGAACUUCUUGAAAAAGGUUCACAAAAACUUGGCCUUCCAAAAAAAGGGCAUAUACUGGUCCUGGAAACUGACGGAACUGAGAUUGAUGACGACGAAAUCUUAUUGGAGAUGCAAUCAGAAACUUUAAUAAUACUGAUGGAAGGAGAGAUCCCACAGAUACCCACAGAAGAACAAGCGAGCAUAACAUCAAUUGAGCAGAAGUCUGAUUCCGAAAAAAUAAAUGAAAUCCUAUCCCUUGACUCCGCAGCGUACAUGGAAUCUUUU